UAAAAACGGCAUGUUUAUAUUUUGAAAAAUGUUGUUCUUCGACACCAGUAGAACGCGCUAAAGUCCAUUCCAAGUUGGAAAAAAGGAGGUAGGGAGUGCGUCAAAACGAUUGAACGGGCAAGAUAGGGAAGCUCCAGGCUUUAACUAUUACAUCCAGUGGGCUAUGGCCCGAGUGAGCGAAUGUUCUAGGUUUUACAGCGCUCGUGGCGGCAGUUUCAGCAACCGCAACUUGACAUGGGACGACCAAAACUUCCCGAAAAUGAAGAAGAAGCAAAAAUACAGAAAGCUAAGAGGUUAGAGGCCCAAGUCGAGGCCAGAGAAAAGAAGGCAUUCAAAAGAAAAGCACAAAAUUUGGCGAAAAAACUUGUUGAGAA